UACAGAGGGGGCAAGCGUUAUUCGGAAUUAUUGGGCGUAAAGCGCGCGUAGGCGGUUACUCAAGUCGGAUGUGAAAGCCCUCGGCUUAACUGAGGAAGUGCACCCGAAACUGAGUAGCUAGAGUACUAAAGAGGGUCGCGGAAUUCCCGGUGUAGAGGUGAAAUUCGUAGAUAUUGGGAAGAACACCGGUGGCGAAGGCGGCGAGCUGGUCCGUUACUGACACUGAGGCGCGACAGCGUGGGGAGCAAACAGG
rnacentral:rRNA from 1 species